UACGGAGGGGGCUAGCGUUGUUCGGAAUUACUGGGCGUAAAGCGCACGUAGGCGGCUUUGUAAGUUAGAGGUGAAAGCCCGGGGCUCAACUCCGGAAUUGCCUUUAAGGCUGCAUCGCUAGAAUUGUGGAGAGGUAAGUGGAAUUCCGAGUGUAGAGGUGAAAUUCGUAGAUAUUCGGAAGAACACCAGUGGCGAAGGCGACUUACUGGACACAUAUUGACGCUGGGGUGCGAAAGCGUGGGGAGCAAACAGG
rnacentral:rRNA from 1 species